rnacentral:rRNA from 1 species
UACAGAGGUCCCAAGCGUUGUUCGGAUUCACUGGGCGUAAAGGGUGCGUAGGUGGCCGGGUAAGUCUGACGUGAAAUCUCCAAGCUCAACUUGGAAACUGCAUCGGAUACUAUCCGGCUCGAGGAUCGGAGGGGAGACUGGAAUGCUUGGUGUAGCAGUGAAAUGCGUAGAGAUCCGGAGGAACACCAGUGGCGAAGGCGACACGCUGGGCCAUACCUGACGCUAAAGCGCGACAGCAUGGGGAGCAAACGGG